UUUAAAGGGCUGGAUUUGUAGA
rnacentral:misc_RNA from 1 species